GAUGAACGCUGGCGGCGUGCCUAAUACAUGCAAGUCGAGCGAACAGACGAGGAGCUUGCUCCUCUUACGUUAGCGGCGGACGGGUGAGUAACACGUGGAUAACCUACCUAUAAGACUGGGAUAACUUCGGGAAACCGGAGCUAAUACCGGAUAAUAUAUUUAACCGCAUGGUUCAAUAGUGAAAGACGGUUUUGCUUUCACUUAUAGAUGGAUCCGCGCCUCAUUAGCUAGUUGGUAAGGUAACGGCUUACCAAGGCGACGAUGCGUAGCCGACCGGAGAGGGUGAUGGGCCACACUGGAACUGAGACAGGGUCCAGCCUCUUACGGGAGGCAGCAGUAGGGAAUCUUCCGCAAUGGGCGAAAGCCUGACGGAGAAACGCCGCGUGAGUGAUGAAGGUCUUCGGAUCGUAAAACUCUGUUAUUAGGGAAGAACAAAUGUGUAAGUAAAUAUGCACGACUUGACGGUAACUAAUCAGAAAGCCACGGCUAACUACGUG
rnacentral:rRNA from 1 species